CUGAAUUGUGAGACCGGCUGUUGCAACUGUUGUGGUUGUCAAAAGAACAGCCUUUGCCCAUAAAUAGUCACUCAGUACAUUAUCCAACAAACCUGUAAAGACGAAAAAAAGGUAAGUGAAUAAGAGACAAAAUAGUCGAAUACUAAUUGCCAAGAAAGAAAAGACUAUCCACAUCAUAUCCAAAUGUCUAUAGCAAAAAAGAUGGAUAAUGGAAAAAGGAAUGUAAUAUCAUAGCAGUAGGCCCACAGGAAAAGAAAUGAUCACAAAGGUAACUAGAUACACUAUAGCCCUUUAACAUGGAAAUUGAUCUAACGCUUCUUCAUCCACCAAAAUGGAUAGACAUUCAAUUUUUAUCCUUCCAUAAAAUUAACUAUAAACAAUAUGAGAAUUGACCCAUUAAUUUCUGCAUGCCAGACAAGAAUGGAAAUAAUAAAAUCCAGCGGAUCUCAAAAUUUGCUCAGAUACAUCUACAACAAAUUCUGCCCGAGUCAUGUUUUACUGGAGUGCAUAAUUGAGCCCAAAAGCAUAAACUCCUGAUAGCAGAAUAGAAAAUCAACGAGUCAUGAAAAAAAGGGAUUUGGAGAAAAAACCAACUUCCAUGUUUUCCUUUUACUAUUCAACUCUAAUAAGCUAGUAAAAGAUAAGUUUAAACAACCCAUAACAUGUCCUCAAUGCAAUUUCUGCUGUACAAGGAACAUCAACAAAAGUGCCGAGGUGGAGAGGCCUCUUCCCGAAAUAAAAUGAGUUUCAUCAUCCAAUGUUGAAGCACAAAAUAGCAUGAAGUUAAAACAGC
rnacentral:lncRNA from 1 species